rnacentral:lncRNA from 1 species
CUGACCCUAAUCAUUGGCCUACAAAUUCCCAAAUAUUCCUCCAAUACCAAAAGGAUGCCAAAAAAUACAUUUCCACCGCCGGGAUCCUAUAUUCCCCUGAGAUCGAAUCUGGGAGCCUUUUCCGAUAAUCUGUCAUAGGGGGAAUCGAUCACGGAGGGCAUCUACAUCAACUCUAUUGCCCCUCCGAUGAUGUAUGAGUAGUUCACCACAGACCUACGGGUCCAUAGCUCAUAUCUAGAUGGCUUCUUCUCUCUCUUUGUUGUUCAAUACCAUGUUCUUCAUGAUCUUCAUGGAGAUCUAUCUGAUGUAAUACUCUUUUGCGGUGUGUUUGUCAAGAUCUGAUGAAUUGUGGGUUUAUGUUCAGAUUAUCUUUGAAUAUUAUUUGAAUCUUC